UACGUAGGGACCAAGCGUUGUCCGGAAUCAUUGGGCGUAAAGCGCGCGUAGGCGGCCCGGUAAGUCCGUUGUAAAAGUCGAAGGCUCAACCUUCGAAAGCCGAUGGAUACUGCCGGGCUAGAGUACGGAAGAGGCGAGUAGAAUUCCUGGUGUAGCGGUGGAAUGCGCAGAUAUCAGGAGGAAUACCCAUAGCGAAGGCAGCUCGCUGGGACGGUACUGACGCUGAGGCGCGAAAGCGUGGGGAGCAAACAGG
rnacentral:rRNA from 1 species